UAGUGGAGUGAUCUGUCUGGUUAAUUCCGAUAACGAACGAGAUCCCGGCCAUUUAAAUAGUGUUUAUUACUUUUGUAGUAAUACACUUCUUAGAGGAACUAUGUGGAAAAACUAACCCCAAGGAAGUGGGGCUAUAACA
rnacentral:rRNA from 1 species